AUCUGCAAGGGUGAGGGAUGUGGGUGCAGUGAGUUAGAGGUGGUUCCAUGUGGAAUAGUGGGAUUGGUACGUGAUGGUUGGAUGGGGGAAUGAUGUGUGUAUGGGUGAGGAAAAUCGGAGGUUGCGGUGCGAGCGGCAGUAGGGUGCCAUCAAGAGGUGUAUUUGGAAAUAUCCUUAAUACAGGAUCACUUGGAUCCGUCGGCGAUGACGAGCGCGAAAGAAUGCGAAAAGUCCUC
rnacentral:rRNA from 1 species